GUGUGAGGCCCUGGGUCCUUCAGCCAGUGUGUGAGGGGCCCGGCCGCUUCUCCACUGCACCUCUGUGAGGCACGGUUCCCUGUAGCUGGUGUUGGAUGUGGAAAGCCACCUCUCCAGACAGCUCUUAUGCUCGGUGCCCAGGGUGCCUGUGCCAGGGAGGUGGCAGCAGUCACAUGAGGGAACCCCGUGUCCUCAGGGCCUGAUGCCCAUGAUCCCAGGAGCCUGAUCCCAGGAGCCCCAACCAGUGUGCAGACAGCAGUUAAGAGUAAACUGAUGGACACUUUCGUUGAUUGAAAGAAAUUAAUUCCAGAAGCAAAGUCCUUGAGAAGUGGAGGAGGAAAGGAUUGUAGGGACCAAGUGCAAGGACCAUGUCUUCGUUAGAGUCUAUCACCUUUAAGAGAUUCUUUGCUGAGAAGAAACUACUGCAGCUAGCCUUGGGUGUGCGGGCUGCUGUCGUUUUUGUUUCUACAAGGAAAAUCCAAAAGCCCUCUGAAAAUUGAUGGGAUUGAAUUUAUGCCCUGUGAAAUUCACCAUAUAAAAUUUUUUCACUGGAAUUCCUAGGGUUGCAGAAAUGAGUGAGACAACUCAUAUAAAGAGCACUCAGAUCAAGAUAUGGAACAUCACUAGCCCCUCAGAAACCUGCCUUGUGGUUUCUCCCACUCAUUACCCCUGCCUUCUUCCUGAAGGUAACUACUCUUUUGACUCG
rnacentral:lncRNA from 1 species